GUUUGGUAGCCAAUUGCUAAAAUGUAUUUUUAUCUUACGCAAAUGUAUCUUUUAUCUUUAUCAUAUUUAAUACCAUGGCUCUGAUCCGAAAUCAGGGCAUUUUUGUUCGAACAAAUACCUAUAAUAACGAUGAAGAAGUGUGUGAUCUGCGGAGCAAACGACCUACGUCGGGUCGGGACUGAUAUGCGUGUGACUGUGCACAAGUUCCCGCUAAAAAAAGAAGUACAGAGAAAAGUGGAUGAGGGUGUGUGGCAUGACCAAUGAGCCAAGACCACAUGACCACUUAAACUUAACAAGAAGUGCGCACCAUGAUAAGCACAGUCAAAAACGUUUGCGUCUAAAGAACAGUGCUGUGCCGGAUCAGAAUAUUCCGUGUACGCCUUGGGUUGCUGUCACUGCUCGGUCACCCACAGAUGAAAGUGAUCAAGAAAUGGAUCACUCAGGUGUGGGAUCACUCGUGGAAGUUCACGGCGGAUACGGAGCCGUGCAUGCAGCUCUGGUUCGAUCCUGCUCAGGGAAGCCCCAAUGACGCCGUGGCGCGCAUCUGGGCAUCUGGGCCAGGGCGCAUCGCGGCCCUGGCGGCAGCGGCCCGCUCCUGACCCGGUCGCCCUGUGCUGAGCACAGAGCGCCGACUGAGGUCAGUCUUGUGAUCGAGCUUCCGCGCCGGAGGUGGAACAGGUGGAGCUGGCGGUCACCUGCGCGGGCACGGCAGCCUGUAAGCCGUGCCGAGACGAACCGCGACACUCUUGCUAGAUCUGCACCCCAUUGUAAUCUUCUGUAGUCGAUAUUCGGUAGGUACUCAAUGCUCAUUUUUUUGAUAUUAGACGAGUGGCGUGUUUUGAUGUUACAUUGGAGACUGCUGUCUCGGGUGGCCCGACAGUGUUCGAUUGUGGUGUAAUGUAGAAUCGUAGAUACAUAGACGGGAUGCCGCGGCUCGGAUUCGUAGCUGGACUACCAUGUGCCUGUCGAUUGAGAUGCUUUGCCUGGCGAUUGAGAUGAUUCGGGGCGCGGCCCCACACUGACGCCAUGGUGCAAUGAGUGACUGGCGACAACUAAGCAAUUAUGUACUUUUGUA
rnacentral:lncRNA from 1 species